rnacentral:rRNA from 1 species
GGAGAGUUUGAUCCUGGCUCAGGAUGAACGCUGGCGGCGUGCCUAAUACAUGCAAGUCGAACGGUCUGCCAGUUUUUCGGAAUUGGCGGAUAGUGGCGGACGGGUGCGUAACACGUAGCUGACCUGCCCUUUGCUGGGGGAUAACAAGUCGAAAGACUUGCUAAUACCGCGUAAGCUCAUUAAGGUUAGAGUCUUAAUGAGGAGAGCCGCGAGGCGGCAAAGGAGGGGGCUGCGGUCCAUCAGCUAGUUGGCGAGGUAAAGGCUCACCAAGGCGAAGACGGAUAGGGGGCCUGAGAGGGUGACCCCCCACACUGGGACUGAGACACGGCCCAGACUCCUACGGGAGGCAGCAGUAAGGGAUAUUGCACAAUGGGCGAAAGCCUGAUGCAGCAACGCCGCGUGAGGGAAGACGGGUUUCGGCUCGUAAACCUCUUUUCUGCCUGAAGAGAAAGGACGGUAGGGCAGGAAUAAGUCUCGGCUAACUACGUGCCAGCAGCCGCGGUAAAACGUAGGAGGCGAGCGUUAUCCGGAAUUACUGGGCGUAAAGCGCGCGUAGGCGGUGAUGCAAGUGGUGCGUGAAAGCUCUUGGCUCAACUGGGAGAGGUCGUACCAAACUGCAUGACUAGAGACAGCAAGAGGUCAAUGGAAUUUCGGGUGGAGCGGUGAAAUGCGUAGAGAUCCGGAGGAACACCAGAGGCGAAGGCGAUUGACUGGGGCUGUUCUGACGCUGAGGAGCGAAAGCGUGGGGAGCGAACGGGAUUAGAAACCCCGGUAGUCCACGCUGUAAACGAUGCACACUAGACGUACUGUGCGGAAGCGCAUGGUGUGUCGUAGCCAACGCGGUAAGUGUGCCGCCUGGGGAGUACGGUCGCAAGGCUAAAACUCAAAGGAAUUGACGGGGGCCCGCACAAGCAGCGGAGCGUGUGGUUUAAUUCGAGGCUA